AGACGUGCGAGACCUCAAUGGUUACUGAUCAAACUGUUCCAUGCAUAAAAAUCUUUGAGAUGGGGGUGAUGCCAGAAAUUGGCAAGGCUGUUGAAGAGAUGGACUGGAGCCUCCCAACAGAUGUUCAAGCAGAAGCUAUCCCUAUGGUAUUGGGAGGAGGAGAUGUGUUGAUGGUA
rnacentral:lncRNA from 1 species